GAUGAACGCUGGCGGCGUGCCUAACACAUGCAAGUCGAGCGAACCCUUCGGGGUGAGCGGCGGACGGGUGAGUAACGCGUGGGUAACCUGCCCUGUACACACGGAUAACAUACCGAAAGGUAUGCUAAUACGAGAUAACAUAUUUUAAUCGCAUGGUUAAGAUAUCAAAGCUCCGGCGGUACAGGAUGGACCCGCGUCUGAUUAGCUAGUUGGUGAGGUAAUGGCUCACCAAGGCGACGAUCAGUAGCCGACCUGAGAGGGUGAUCGGCCACACUGGAACUGAGACACGGUCCAGACUCCUACGGGAGGCAGCAGUGGGGAAUAUUGCACAAUGGGCGAAAGCCUGAUGCAGCAACGCCGCGUGAGCGAUGAAGGCCUUCGGUCGUAAGCUCUGUCCUCAGGAAGAUAAUGACGGUACUUGUAGGAGGAAGCCCCGGCCGUAACUACGUG
rnacentral:rRNA from 1 species